rnacentral:rRNA from 1 species
CGUGGAAGCGCAGUAAUGCGUGAAGCGGAGGAGUACUAAUAGACCGAGGGCUUGACCAUAAAAAUCU